AGGGUGCAAACGUUGCUCGGAAUUAUUGGGCGUAAAGCGCACGUAGGCGGCUUUGCAAGUCGGAUGUGAAAUCCCUCGGCUCAACCAAGGAAGUGCAUCCGAAACUGCAGAGCUUGAGUACCAAAGAGGAUCGCGGAAUUCCCGGUGUAGAGGUGAAAUUCGUAGAUAUCGGGAGGAACACCAGUGGCGAAGGCGGCGAUCUGGGUGGAUACUGACGCUGAGGUGCGAAAGCGUGGGGAGCAAACAGG
rnacentral:rRNA from 1 species